rnacentral:rRNA from 1 species
AUACAUGCAAGUCGAGGGGCAGCAGGUCUGUAGCAAUACAGAUGCUGGCGACCGGCAAACGGGUGCGGAACACGUACAGAACCUUCCUUCGAGCGGGGAAUAGCCCAGAGAAAUUUGGAUUAAUACCCCAUAGUAUACUGAAGAGGCAUCUCUUUAGUAUUAAAGAUUUAUCACUUGAAGAUGGCUGUGCGGCUGAUUAGGUAGUUGGCGGGGUAAAGGCCCACCAAGCCUGCGAUCAGUAACUGGUGUGAGAGCACGACCAGUCACACGGGCACUGAGACACGGGCCCGACUCCUACGGGAGGCAGCAGUAAGGAAUAUUGGUCAAUGGACGAAAGUCUGAACCAGCCAUGCCGCGUGAAGGAUGAAGGUCCUCUGGAUUGUAAACUUCUUUUAUAUGGGACGAAAAAAGGGUUUUCUAACUCAACUGACGGUACCAUAUGAAUAAGCACCGGCUAACUCCGUGCCAGCAGCCGCGGUAAUACGGAGGGUGCAAGCGUUAUCCGGAUUCACUGGGUUUAAAGGGUGCGUAGGUGGGUUGGUAAGUCAGUGGUGAAAUCCCCGAGCUUAACUCGGGAACUGCCAUUGAUACUAUCAGUCUUGAAUACCGUGGAGGUCAGCAGAAUAUGUCAUGUAGCGGUGAAAUGCUUAGAUAUGACAUAGAAUACCAAUUGCGAAGGCAGCUGGCUACCCGAAUAUUGACACUGAGGCACGAAAGCGUGGGGAUCAAACAGGAUUAGAUACCCUGGUAGUCCACGCCCUAAACUAUGGAUACUCGACAUACGCGAUACACUGUGUGUGUCUGAGCGAAAGCAUUAAGUAUCCCACCUGGGAAGUACGACCGCAAGGUUGAAACUCAAAGGAAUUGGCGG